GUAGGGAAUAUUGGGCAAUGGUCGGAAGACUGACCCAGCCAUGCCGCGUGCAGGAAGACGGCCCUCUGGGUUGUAAACUGCUUUUAUCUGGGAAGAAAAAGGCCAUGCGUGGCAAAUUGCCGGUACCAGAUGAAUAAGCACCGGCUAACUCCGUGCCAGCAGCCGCGGUAAUACGGAGGGUGCGAGCGUUGUCCGGAUUUAUUGGGUUUAAAGGGUGCGUAGGCGGCUGAUUAAGUCAGCGGUGAAAGACUUCGGCUUAACCGGAGCAGUGCCGUUGAUACUGGUUGGCUUGAGUGUCGGAGGGGUACAUGGAAUUGAUGGUGUAGCGGUGAAAUGCAUAGAUACCAUCAGGAACACCGAUAGCGAAGGCAUUGUACUGGCCGACAACUGACGCUGAUGCACGAAAGUGUGGGGAUCGAACAGGAUUAGACACCCUAGUAGUCC
rnacentral:rRNA from 1 species